rnacentral:rRNA from 1 species
GACGAACGCUGGCGGCGUGCCUAAUACAUGCAAGUCGAGCGAUGAUUAAAGAUAGCUUGCUAUUUUUAUGAAGAGCGGCGAACGGGUGAGUAACGCGUGGGAAAUCUGCCGAGUAGCGGGGGACAACGUUUGGAAACGAACGCUAAUACCGCAUAACAAUGAGAAUCGCAUGAUUCUUAUUUGAAAGAAGCAAUUGCUUCACUACUUGAUGAUCCCGCGUUGUAUUAGCUAGUUGGUAGUGUAAAGGACUACCAAGGCGAUGAUACAUAGCCGACCUGAGAGGGUGAUCUGCCACGCUGGGACUGAGACACGGCCCAGACUCCUGCGGGAGGCAGCAGUAGGGAAUCUUCGGCAAUGGGGGCAACCCUGACCGAGCAACGCCGCGUGAGUGAAGAAGGUUUUCGGAUCGUAAAACUCUGUUGUUAGAGAAGAACGUUAAGUAGAGUGGAAAAUUACUUAAGUGACGGUAUCUAACCAGAAAGGGACGGCUAACUACGUGCCAGCAGCCGCCGUAA